UACGUAGGUGGCAAGCGUUGUUCGGAAUUAUUGGGCGUAAAGGGUGCGUAGGCGGCCUGCUAAGUCGGACGUGAAAUCCCUCGGCUCAACCGAGGAACUGCGUCCGAUACUGGUGGGCUUGAAUCCGGGGAGAGGGAUGUGGAAUUCCAGGUGUAGCGGUGAAAUGCGUAGAUAUCUGGAGGAACACCGGUGGCGAAGGCGGCAUCCUGGACCGGUAUUGACGCUGAGGAGCGAAAGCGUGGGGAGCGAACAGG
rnacentral:rRNA from 1 species